UUUCCGUAGGUGAACCUGCGGAAGGAUCAUUAAAGAGAAUAUGCCCUUCGGGGUAGAUCUCCCACCCUUUGUUUAUAUUACCUUUGUUGCUUUGGCAGGCCCGUCUUCGGACCACCGGCUUCGGCUGGUCAGUGCUUGCCAGAGGACCAAAAACUCUUAUUAUUAAUGUCGUCUGAGUACUAUAUAAUAGUUAAAACUUUCAACAACGGAUCUCUUGGUUCUG
rnacentral:misc_RNA from 1 species